rnacentral:rRNA from 1 species
CUGCAGCCCGAGUGGUGAUCGAUUUUAUUGAGCCUAAAGCGUCCGUAGCCGGACUAGUAAACCCUUGGGUAAAUUGGGCAGCUUAACUGUCCAAAUUCCGAGGGGACUGCUAGUCUUGGGACCGGGAGAGGUCAGAGGUACUCAAGGGGUAGGGGCUAAAUCCUGUAAUCCUUUGGGGACCACCAGUGGCGAAGGCGUCUGACUAGAACGGACCCGACGGUAAGGGACGAAACCCUGGGGCGCGAACCGGAUUAGAUACCCGAGUAGUCC